CUCUCUGCGUCAAGCUCCGCUUUUUUCCCCCCAAGCCGUUUGCUUUUGGGUACCUUCUCCUCCCGUGCGGACACGCCGUCUGUGCCCUGGCUUUUUCCUGACAGUUUCAGGCUCACGGUGGGCCUUUUGUGAGCUUAAAGGAGGUGUAGUUGGCAUCCUUCAUUCAACAUGUUUAUUCAGCUUUUACUGUGUACCAGCAAGCAGCGCGGUUAUUGUCGUCAUACAGGCUGACAUGAAGCUCUGUGAAGAUUUGUAAAGCCUGGGAGCAAGAGUGCAAAUGGAGGCUUACCUACUGUCUGUCUAAAUAUUUAUAAGUCAUAAAUCAACCUAAAACAUUGUUAACUAAGCACUGAAACACUGCUUGCACUCUGAAGCAAUGUCCAGAGGCAAUACAAUCCAUAAACCUUCAGAGUUUUCAAACAGAAAGAAAAAAGAGCCCUGUUCCUUUGAAGCUU